UUUUAUAAAUUUGUGUCUGUUACUUGCAGGAUUUCUAUCUUUCGUUGUUUUUAUAACCCUCACAUAUUACAAACCUCGAACAUUUAUUAUAUAUAAAUGUAUUCUACUUACUUAAAUAAGUGAUAUCCUUUUUUAUUCGUAUUAUUGCAAUUAACAAUGCAACAUGUACUUGGCAUUAUCUCGUUUAUAUAUUUACAGUUUUACUAAUAUAAAUAGCAGUAGAUACGACACACAUCAGUGUAGACACAUCAGGUAUCACAUACUUACAGUACAGCACUACUACACACGCAUCGGAUACUCACGUACGCACUACAAACACACACCGCCGCCAUGUUUUGACGGUCUUCAUGGCCGAACCGGAAAAUAGGCGGGACACAGCUCUUGUAUAGGUCAAAGAUCGAAGUUAGCAAUCUAGUAUAGUAUAGACAUCUGUGGUGUAGGCAGACCGGAGCCGAUGCACCUGCCUGCUUGCUCUCGCACACACGCGACUGCGUGUAAAAUCGCGGUAUCACACACGACACGAAAGAAACAAUCGAAGCUAAGAACUAGCGACUGUGUUCAGCGUGCUCUGUGAGCGCUUCCAACGGUUACUGCUUUCCGUUGCUCUUUUUCCGCGCACGAAUGAGACUUGCGCGCGCUCUAUAGCGCCGCACGGAAACAGAUGCGUGCGCCUUGGGGAACUCAAAGUCCCCACAACUUUGAUGGGACCAGUCUCAUCGUAUCUGGGACAGACUGUGUAUGUCAUUGGGUCUUAAAUAUAAAACCUGACUAUGAAUAUCGAUCUUAGUCCAUAUGUCGUUUGAAAUGAAUGAUGACAUUAACACACGUUGACAGCAGAUUUUAUCGGAAAUCAAUUUCCUCCAGUUGGAC